GGGUGAGUAAUGUCUGGGAAACUGCCCGAUGGAGGGGGAUAACUACUGGAAACGGUAGCUAAUACCGCAUAACGUCGCAAGACCAAAGAGGGGGACCUUCGGGCCUCUUGCCAUCGGAUGUGCCCAGAUGGGAUUAGCUAGUAGGUGGGGUAACGGCUCACCUAGGCGACGAUCCCUAGCUGGUCUGAGAGGAUGACCAGCCACACUGGAACUGAGACACGGUCCAGACUCCUACGGGAGGCAGCAGUGGGGAAUAUUGCACAAUGGGCGCAAGCCUGAUGCAGCCAUGCCGCGUGUAUGAAGAAGGCCUUCGGGUUGUAAAGU
rnacentral:rRNA from 1 species